UACGUAGGUGGCAAGCGUUGUCCGGAUUUAUUGGGUUUAAAGGGUGCGUAGGCGGUUCUAUAAGUCAGUGGUGAAAUCCGGCAGCUCAACUGUCGAUGUGCCAUUGAUACUGCAGAACUUGAGUACAGACGAGGUAGGCGGAAUUGACGGUGUAGCGGUGAAAUGCUUAGAUAUCGUCAAGAACACCGAUAGCGAAGGCAGCUGGCUACACAAAUAUUGACACUGAGGCACGAAAGCGUGGGGAUCAAACAGG
rnacentral:rRNA from 1 species